rnacentral:tRNA from 1 species
GCCCGGGUGGCUUAGCUGGACAUAGCGCCGCACUCAUAGGGUUUUCGAGACUCUGCGCGGCGUCGCUCCCGGUCCCGUGAGGCCCGUCAGCCUCGAACCUGGGACAUGCGGAGAUCGAGGGUUCGGAGCCCUCCCCGGGCA